CUGGAAAGGCGCGCGAUACAGGGUGACAGCCCCGUACACAAAAAUGCACAUGCUGUGAGCUCGAUGAGUAGGGCGGGACACGUGGUAUCCUGUCUGAAUAUGGGGGGACCAUCCUCCAAGGCUAAAUACUCCUGACUGACCGAUAGUGAACCAGUACCGUGAGGGAAAGGCGAAAAGAACCCCGGCGAGGGGAGUGAAAAAGAACCUGAAACCGUGUACGUACAAGCAGUGGGAGCACGCUUAGGCGUGUGACUGCGUACCUUUUGUAUAAUGGGUCAGCGACUUAUAUUCUGUAGCAAGGUUAACCGAAUAGGGGAGCCGAAGGGAAACCGAGUCUUAACUGGGCGUUAAGUUGCAGGGUAUAGACCCGAAACCCGGUGAUCUAGCCAUGGGCAGGUUGAAGGUUGGGUAACACUAACUGGAGGACCGAACCGACUAAUGUUGAAAAAUUAGCGGAUGACUUGUGGCUGGGGGUGAAAGGCCAAUCAAACCGGGAGAUAGCUGGUUCUCCCCGAAAGCUAUUUAGGUAGCGCCUCGUGAAUUCAUCUCCGGGGGUAGAGCACUGUUUCGGCAAGGGGGUCAUCCCGACUUACCAACCCGAUGCAAACUGCGAAUACCGGAGAAUGUUAUCACGGGAGACACACGGCGGGUGCUAACGUCCGUCGUGAAGAGGGAAACAACCCAGACCGCCAGCUAAGGUCCCAAAGUCAUGGUUAAGUGGGAAACGAUGUGGGAAGGCCCAGACAGCCAGGAUGUUGGCUUAGAAGCAGCCAUCAUUUAAAGAAAGCGUAAUAGCUCACUGGUCGAGUCGGCCUGCGCGGAAGAUGUAACGGGGCUAAACCAUGCACCGAAGCUGCGGCAGCGACGCUGAUGCGUUGUUGGGUAGGGGAGCGUUCUGUAAGCCUGCGAAGGUGUGCUGUGAGGCAUGCUGGAGGUAUCAGAAGUGCGAAUGCUGACAUAAGUAACGAUAAAGCGGGUGAAAAGCCCGCUCGCCGGAAGACCAAGGGUUCCUGUCCAACGUUAAUCGGGGCAGGGUGAGUCGACCCCUAAGGCGAGGCCGAAAGGCGUAGUCGAUGGGAAACAGGUUAAUAUUCCUGUACUUGGUGUUACUGCGAAGGGGGGACGGAGAAGGCUAUGUUGGCCGGGCGACGGUUGUCCCGGUUUAAGCGUGUAGGCUGGUUUUCCAGGCAAAUCCGGAAAAUCAAGGCUGAGGCGUGAUGACGAGGCACUACGGUGCUGAAGCAACAAAUGCCCUGCUUCCAGGAAAAGCCUCUAAGCAUCAGGUAACAUCAAAUCGUACCCCAAACCGACACAGGUGGUCAGGUAGAGAAUACCAAGGCGCUUGAGAGAACUCGGGUGAAGGAACUAGGCAAAAUGGUGCCGUAACUUCGGGAGAA
rnacentral:rRNA from 1 species